rnacentral:rRNA from 1 species
GAUGAACGCUGGCGGCGUGCCUAAUACAUGCAAGUCGAGCGAACGGACGAGAAGCUUGCUUUUCUGAUGUUAGCGGCGGACGGGUGAGUAACACGUGGAUAACCUACCUAUAAGACUGGGAUAACUUCGGGAAACCGGAGCUAAUACCGGAUAAUAUUUUGAACCGCAUGGUUCAAAAGUGAAAGACGGUCUUGCUGUCACUUAUAGAUGGAUCCGCGCUGCAUUAGCUAGUUGGUAAGGUAACGGCUUACCAAGGCAACGAUGCAUAGCCGACCUGAGAGGGGGAUCGGCCACACUGGAACGGAGACACGGUCCAGACUCCUACGGGAGGCAGCAGUAGGGAAUCUUCCGCAAUGGGCGAAAGCCUGACGGAGCAACGCCGCGUGAGUGAUGAAGGUCUUCGGAUCGUAAAACUCUGUUAUUAGGGAAGAACAUAUGUGUAAGUAACUGUGCACAUCUUGACGGUACCUAAUCAGAAAGCCACGGCUAACUACGUG